CCUACGGGUGGCUGCAGUGGGGUAUAUUGCACAAUGGGCGCAAGCCUGAUGCAGCCAUGCCGCGUGUGUGAAGAAGGCCUUCGGGUUGUAAAGCACUUUCAGCGGGGAGGAAGGCGGUGAGGUUAAUAACCUCAUCGAUUGACGUUACCCGCAGAAGAAGCACCGGCUAACUCCGUGCCAGCAGCCGCGGUAAUACGGAGGGUGCAAGCGUUAAUCGGAAUUACUGGGCGUAAAGCGCACGCAGGCGGUCUGUCAAGUCGGAUGUGAAAUCCCCGGGCUCAACCUGGGAACUGCAUUCGAAACUGGCAGGCUAGAGUCUUGUAGAGGGGGGUAGAAUUCCAGGUGUAGCGGUGAAAUGCGUAGAGAUCUGGAGGAAUACCGGUGGCGAAGGCGGCCCCCUGGACAAAGACUGACGCUCAGGUGCGAAAGCGUGGGGAGCAAACAGGAUUAGAUACCCUUGUAGUC
rnacentral:rRNA from 1 species